rnacentral:tRNA from 1 species
AGGGCUAUAGCUCAGUUAGGUAGAGCACCUCGUUUACACAAUAAGUUUGGUCUGUUUUAUC